AGUGAACGCUGGCGGUAGGCCUAACACAUGCAAGUCGAACGGCAGCACAGUAAGAGCUUGCUCUUACGGGUGGCGAGUGGAGGACGGGUGAGGAAUACAUCGGAAUCUACUUUUUCGUGGGGGAUAACGUAGGGAAACUUACGCUAAUACCGCAUACGACCUACGGGUGAAAGCAGGGGAUCUUCGGACCUUGCGCGAUUGAAUGAGCCGAUGUCGGAUUAGCUAGUUGGCGGGGUAAAGGCCCACCAAGGCGACGAUCCGUAGCUGGUCUGAGAGGAUGAUCAGCCACACUGGAACUGAGACACGGUCCAGACUCCUACGGGAGGCAGCAGUGGGGAAUAUUGGACAAUGGGCGCAAGCCUGAUCCAGCCAUACCGCGUGGGUGAAGAAGGCCUUCGGAUUGUAAAGCCCUUUUGUUGGGAAAGAAAAGCAGCAGGUUAAUACCCCGCUGUUCUGACGGUACCCAAAGAAUAAGCACCGGCUAACUUCGUG
rnacentral:rRNA from 1 species